GCAAGUAAAACCAUAGCUGAAAUACAUAUCUAUCUUGAUAUGAGUUGAUUUAGCUUAAAUAAUAUCUACCCUGAGCAUAUCCAUUUGUGUGCAGAUGCAGGUGUGGGUAUUCCUAAGAAACAGAAUCGGGCAAAGAAUAGAGUGAGGUGAACUAUUUAAGCUACACCAAAAAGAAAUAAAAUAGGGAAACCUAUUAAUGGCCGCUUGUAUAUUACAUGUUUUCCCUUGUUUUAAAAAAUCACGCUGUUGUAAGUUGUAACCUUUGGUUUCACCUCAUUCUUAAAUCUAUGCUCUGCACGUGAUUUUUCACUUUCUGAAUUGACUUAAAUGUCCCUCUUCUCUACCCUAUUUCCUCAACUAUUCUGCUGUUCCCUCUUUUCUGAUCUACAUCAUGUUGCCUUUCUGUUCAGGAUCAGGUUCACUAGGUAGCUCAAUCAAGUUCAAGCUCAUGUUCCUACUGUCGUGCAUAUUUCUACAAUCUGAGCUGGAUAUGGCAUCUGUUGGUUACCUAAGCUUGGCUUGUACGCAAAAAGCAUACCUUAUGCCCUAGGCAAGGAAGAAAUGG